rnacentral:lncRNA from 1 species
GUUGAAUAUAUGGAAUAUGUGACAUUUGAUCCCGCUGGGAUAAAUGUUCCGUUCGGCAAGACAUCAUCGGCGAUUACAUGCUUUGAGUCUUGUGGCACUGAUGGGUAAAGCCUUAAUGUUUCAGAUAGUGCGGCUUUAAGAUAUAUCAUUCGAUCUACUUCUUCAAACACUAAUGGUUCAUCAACCCAUUUGGAAGUGUCAGAUCCACGUGUCUCCAUUAGAAUAGUGCAAAUCUCGAUGAGAAUUUUGUCUUCCACCCUUGGGUUUUGAUUUACUAACCAAAAAAACCAACAAAGGGCAACUGAUGACGUGUCACGUCCAGCUAGGAUGAAAUUAAGUGUCACGUGCUGAAGGAAUUCAUCUGAAUAGGAUUCUUUUUUUUUCAUGAAACGGGAUAACAAAUCGUCGUGUUGGAUCCCACUUUGAUGCUGACUCACCAACUCUUGCUUACGUGUAUUUAUGAUUUCGGAUAAGUAUUUAUCCAUGUGUUCAAGGCUUUGGCUCAGCUUGACUUCCAUCCCAAGCCGAAGCCAUUUCUUCAGCUUCCAUACGAUUUCAGGCAAAAUAAAGCGUUGGAGCGUGGCUUCCGUGGCUCGAUCAAAAGCCAUUGCGAAGCCGUUCUCUGGAAGUCCAGGGGAAAGUGUUUGAGGGUCCUUACCGAAAGUCAAGCCGCAUAUGUUAUCAAAAGUGAGCCGAAGCAAUAAGUCUUGAAGAUCAAUUCGCUUCCCUUGGAGCUGAGCCGAUUCAAGAAUCGGGCAAAACCGAUACUUAAUGGCUCGGCUAACCCACCGUGCCAUAGCAUGGCGCAGCGUCCGGGUGGUAAAUUCUAAUGCGGCAGUCUUCCUCUGAAACAGCCACGUGUCUCCAUCAGAAUUAAAGAUCCCAUCACCGAGCAAAUCAUGGAACACAGCUUGCCAAGUAGGCCCCUUAGGGUAAUUAUCGAACCGGAUCUUCAAA